rnacentral:tRNA from 1 species
GAGGGUAUAGCUCAAGUGGUAGAGUGCAUGCCUAGCAUGCACAAGGUCCUGGGUUCGAUCCCCAGUACCUCCA